UACGGAGGGUGCGAGCGUUGUUCGGAAUCACUGGGCGUAAAGGGCGUGUAGGCGGUCCGCUAAGUCUGAUGUGAAAGCCCGGGGCUCACCCCCGGAAGGGCAUUGGAAACUGACGGACUCGAGUCCCGAAGAGGAGGGUGGAAUUCCUGGUGUAGCGGUGAAAUGCGUAGAUAUCAGGAGGAACACCGGUGGCGAAGGCGACAUCCUGGACCGGUAUUGACGCUGAGGCGCGAAAGCCAGGGGAGCAAACGGG
rnacentral:rRNA from 1 species